rnacentral:rRNA from 1 species
UCCACGCCGUAAACGAUGGGCACUAGGUGUAGGAGGUAUCGACCCCUUCUGUGCCGUAGUUAACACAAUAAGUGCCCCGCCUGGGGAGUACGGCCGCAAGGCUGAAACUCAAAGGAAUUGACGGGGGCCCGCACAAGCGGUGGAGUAUGUGGUUUAAUUCGACGCAACGCGAAGAACCUUACCAGGGCUUGACAUCCCCUGACCGUUAUGGAAACAUAAUUUUCUGCCUUCGGGUAGACAGGGAGACAGGUGGUGCAUGGUUGUCGUCAGCUCGUGUCGUGAGAUGUUGGGUUAAGUCCCGCAACGAGCGCAACCCCUAUCUUUAGUUGCCAUCAGGUAGAGCUGGGCACUCUAGAGAGACUGCCGGUGACAAACCGGAGGAAGGUGGGGAUGACGUCAAAUCAUCAUGCCCCUUAUGUUCU